rnacentral:rRNA from 1 species
AUUGAACGCUGGCGGCAGGCCUAACACAUGCAAGUCGAGCGGUAGCACAGAGAGCUUGCUCUCGGGUGACGAGCGGCGGACGGGUGAGUAAUGUCUGGGAAACUGCCUGAUGGAGGGGGAUAACUACUGGAAACGGUAGCUAAUACCGCAUAAUGUCGCAAGACCAAAGUGGGGGACCUUCGGGCCUCAUGCCAUCAGAUGUGCCCAGAUGGGAUUAGCUAGUAGGUGGGGUAAUGGCUCACCUAGGCGACGAUCCCUAGCUGGUCUGAGAGGAUGACCAGCCACACUGGAACGGGGACACGGUCCAGACUCCUACGGGAGGCAGCAGUGGGGAAUAUUGAACAAUGGGCGCAAGCCUGAUGCAGCCAUGCCGCGUGUGUGAAGAAGGCCUUCGGGUUGUAAAGCACUUUCAGCGGGGAGGAAGGCGGUGAGGUUAAUAACCUCAUCGAUUGACGUUACCCGCAGAAGAAGCACCGGCUAACUCCGUGCCAGCCGCCGCCGUAA